rnacentral:rRNA from 1 species
UGAGGAAGUAAAAGUCGUAACAAGGUCUCCGUUGGUGAACCAGCGGAGGGAUCAUUACUGAGUUUACGCUCUAUAACCCUUUGUGAACAUACCUAUAACUGUUGCUUCGGCGGGUAGGGUCUCCGCGACCCUCCCGGCCUCCCGCCUCCGGGCGGGUCGGCGCCCGCCGGAGGAUAACCAAACUCUGAUUUAACGACGUUUCUUCUGAGUGGUACAAGCAAAUAAUCAAAACUUUUAACAACGGAUCUCUUGGUUCUGGCAUCGAUGAAGAACGCAGCGAAAUGCGAUAAGUAAUGUGAAUUGCAGAAUUCAGUGAAUCAUCGAAUCUUUGAACGCACAUUGCGCCCGCCAGCAUUCUGGCGGGCAUGCCUGUUCGAGCGUCAUUUCAACCCUCAAGCUCUGCUUGGUGUUGGGGCCCUACAGCUGAUGUAGGCCCUCAAAGGUAGUGGCGGACCCUCCCGGAGCCUCCUUUGCGUAGUAACUUUACGUCUCGCACUGGGAUCCGGAGGGACUCUUGCCGUAAAACCCCCCAAUUUUCCAAAGGUUGACCUCGGAUCAGGUAGGAAUACCCGCUGAACUUAAGCAUAUCAAUAA